GUCCACACCGUAAACGUUUGGCGCUAGGUGUGGGAUCCAUUCCACGGGUUCCGUGCCGCAGCUAACGCAUUAAGCGCCCCGCCUGGGGAGUACGGCCUCAAGGCUAAAACUCAAAGGAAUUGACGGGGGCCCGCACAAGCGGCGGAGCAUGCGGAUUAAUUCGAUGCAACGCGAAGAACCUUACCUGGGUUUGACAUACCGAGAAAUCCAUCAGAGAUGGUGGGUCCGUAAGGGUUCGGUACAGGUGGUGCAUGGCUGUCGU
rnacentral:rRNA from 1 species